AAGGCACAAUGCAACACAUACGUCUGGCCCCUUCCCCCAACUGCAAUGGAUCAACUCUUUAUCUUAUAACAUAGACACAUGCUCCACCCUUUCCCUGGGGCCAUGGCUGAGGAAUGAAACCUCAUUCAAACAGCCCCAUCACAGUCACAGCUAAGGCUUGUGUAAUGUUCAUUACUGUCAGACUGCCUUGCCCUUAACACAAUUUCAGUGCCACAGGCAGGGAAGUGGAUGACAAUACAAUGCUUU